rnacentral:rRNA from 1 species
ACGUACACUCCUGCGGGAGGCAGCAGUGGGGAAUAUUGGACAAUGGGCGCAAGCCUGAUCCAGCCAUGCCGCGUGAGUGAUGAAGGCCCUAGGGUUGUAAAGCUCUUUCACCGGUGAAGAUAAUGACGGUAACCGGAGAAGAAGCCCCGGCGAACUUCGUGCCAGCAGCAGCGGUAAUACGAAGGGGGCUAGCGUUGUUCGGAUUUACUGGGCGUAAAGCGCACGUAGGCGGACUAUUAAGUCAGGGGUGAAAUCCCGGGGCUCAACCCCGGAACUGCCUUUGAUACUGGUAGUCUUGAGUUCGAGAGAGGUGAGUGGAAUUCCGAGUGUAGAGGUGAAAUUCGUAGAUAUUCGGAGGAACACCAGUGGCGAAGGCGGCUCACUGGCUCGAUACUGACGCUGAGGUGCGAAAGCGUGGGGAGCAAACAGGAUUAGAAACCCCAGUAGUCCCA